AAAGAUGCCUCACUACAUCAUGAUUUUAAAGCUUAGACUCCAUUUUUUUUCCAUUAUUAUAUCUAGAAAGUUAAAAUGGUACACUUUACAUUGCAUUAUGCAAUUUCUCAUAUGCCUAAUUUCAACUCCCAUCUUCUUUUAGCUACAAGAGAAAACUGGGAUGCAUAAAUGAAGUGCAUUUGUAAACACAUCAAACACAAAGAAUGGGAUCGCCACGCGUAAUCAGUGGAUUUGCUCAAACUGCAGCCGCUUUAAUGGAGAGGAAAUCAGAAAUCUUGUUGGCGUAGAAAUCCGGUUGUGUAGAGUUGCUGGGAUCUUGAAGCAUCGAUAGAGAUGUCACGCCUGAGAGAACCAGAAGAGUUUUGCAGCCACCAUUUUGUCCAAACACUAUAUCUGUAUCCAAUCUGUCACCGACCAUGCAUAUCUGCGACUUCUGUAUCUUAAACUUAUCAGCCAAGUAGUCCAUCAUGAAGGUUGAGGGCUUUCCUACAACAAGUGGUUCACGCUUUGUAGAGCCUAGGAUCGCACCAACCAUUGAACCACCACCUGCCCAUUCCUGA
rnacentral:misc_RNA from 1 species